AUUGAACGCUGGCGGCAUGCUUUACACAUGCAAGUCGAACGGUAACAGGGUGCUUGCACCGCUGACGAGUGGCGAACGGGUGAGUAAUGCGUCGGAACGUGCCGAGUAAUGGGGGAUAACGCAUCGAAAGGUGUGCUAAUACCGCAUACGCUCUGAGGAGGAAAGCUGGGGAUCGAAAGACCUGGCGUUAUUCGAGCGGCCGACGUCUGAUUAGCUAGUUGGUGAGGUAAAGGCUCACCAAGGCGACGAUCAGUAGCGGGUCUGAGAGGAUGAUCCGCCAGACUGGGACUGAGACACGGCCCAGACUCCUACGGGAGGCAGCAGUGGGGAAUUUUGGACAAUGGGGGCAACCCUGAUCCAGCCAUGCCGCGUGUCUGAAGAAGGCCUUCGGGUUGUAAAGGACUUUUGUUAGGGAGCAAGUCCUGCAGGUUAAGAGCUAGUAGGGAUGAGAGUACCUAAAGAAUAAGCACCGGCUAACUACGUGCCAGCCGCCGCGGUAACAC
rnacentral:rRNA from 1 species